GCAAGUCGAACGAGAACGGGUAUUAGUUUACUAAUACUGUCAGCUAAGUGGCGCACGGGUGAGUAAUAUAUAGUUAAUCUGCCCCAAAGAAGAGAAUAAUUGCUGGAAACGGCUUGUAAUGCUCUAUAUGCCUUUAUGACAUAAGUCAGCAAGGGAAACAUUUAUGGCUUUGGGAUGAGACUGUACGGUAUCAGCUUGUUGGUGAGGUAAUGGCUCACCAAGGCUAUGACGCCUAGCUGGUUUGAGAGGAUGAUC
rnacentral:rRNA from 1 species